UGAUGAUGACUCGGUUGAUGAUGAUGAUGAUUCGGAUGAUGAAAAUGAUGAUGAUGCUGAUGAUGAUCUUCAUCAUCCUCCGAAUCACCAUCAUCAUCAUCAUCAUCA
rnacentral:pre_miRNA from 1 species